CCUCAUGGCUCCAUUGGCGGAGUUCUUUUUGCCGUCGUCGGAAUCGGGCCUUAAAAAAGGCCUAUAGUUUCUUUGAUCCCUCGGGUUGAAAGCCUAACUCUGGUAUGCUGCGAAGCAAGGGCUGAGAGGCCCAUUUCUUUCGCCGUUGGCCACUAUCUGGAAAAGCGCCGAUAUUGACCAAGAUUCAAACAAAAAUAUUCCAAGAAAAAGAAAAAAAAGAAAAAGAAAAAGAAAAAGAAAAAAGAAAAAAAAGAAAAAGAACAAAGAACAAAGAAAAAAGAAAA
rnacentral:lncRNA from 1 species